UCUUUGUCUUUUUAGGAGCUCCAACUUUCUUUGUUGCUCCUGCUGCUGGUUUCUUUGCAGCCUCAGCUUUGUUAACAGACCGUGUCUUUCUUGUACUAACAUUAGCAGUUUUGGGCUGUUUAGGUUUCUUGUCUCCUCCUUUUGCUGCUUUUGGAACUUUGGUUGUUCCCUUCUCUUUCUUGUUCGACUCGGAUAACUUAUAAGAAGCCCUGAUCUUGAUCAACUUCCCUCUAGCAGCAGAGUUUUUCAGCUGUAAAGCCAGAAUUUUCUUGAAGUUUGAGGGUAAUACUGCCUUGUGCUUCUCUUCCAUAUAUUUAGCUAUAGCAUACGGGCUUGAUCCGGACUUUUCAUUCAAGGUCAAAAGAGCUUCUUUGAUCAUCUGGGUCAUAAAAAAGAUUCAACCUUUAAUUAUUAUAACAAGAUUGAAGAAAAUAAAAGGUCAGAAAUAUGCAUCAACAUAGCUUAAAAGAUUAGAGACUUACCUGAAAAUAUGGAGGAUGAGAAGCAGUUUUGGGCUGUUUAGGUUUCUUUUCUUUAGGAGCCUUAGUUUUCUUUUCCUUCACUGGCUUCUCUGCCGGCUUUGCUUCCUCCUCAGCCGCAGGAGGUGGCUGCUCAACGGUGGCAGCAACCUCUGCUUCUUUAUCAGU
rnacentral:lncRNA from 1 species